rnacentral:rRNA from 1 species
UACGUAGGGUGCAAGCGUUGUCCGGAAUUAUUGGGCGUAAAGAGCUCGUAGGCGGUCUGUCGCGUCUGCUGUGAAAACCUAGGGCUUAACUCUGGGCGUGCAGUGGGUACGGGCAGGCUAGAGUGCGGUAGGGGAGACUGGAAUUCCUGGUGUAGCGGUGAAAUGCGCAGAUAUCAGGAGGAACACCGGUGGCGAAGGCGGGUCUCUGGGCAGUAACUGACGCUGAGGAGCGAAAGCGUGGGGGAGCGAACAGG